AGAUUUCGGGACGGAAGUUUGCCUUGUGACAUCAAUUGUCUGAAAUCCUUACUUCAAGCAAUAUAAAGGACAGUCUCAAUAUGAGGGCAGAGCCACAAAUGGAGCCGGGUUCCAGGGACAUCAGAGGCAAGAACUGUUACACCUAUCAAGGCUUUGUCUCAGCCAUGUGGGGCAGCUGUGGCUAGCCAGUACAAGUGACCAGCUGGCUGGCUGGCAGGUGUGUUCUGGUUAUAGAACGAGAUAUAUCAUGCUAUUAGAGCCGGGUGCCAUUAAAAAUUCUAAUCAUAGACUGUAAUUAACUUUCCUUGCUCUGACGCCCGCUCACUAAGCAACCUUCUGAUUAUAAUUUGGCUUCCCAUGUAUCUUGCCUACAGGGAGAGAAUGUACUGAGAAUGUACUGUUCAGGCUGACGUGAGGAUCCAAUCCAUUAAACAGUUACAUGCCAUGAUGUAAAUUAAUAAAUUCGUAUUCUGAUUAUAUCAUCUGCCUCAUCUGGGCUCUGAAGGCGUGAGUCAGCAUCCCCAGGACUAAUCAACACAGACAAUGAGAAUAUCAAGCCUCUGGGCUGAAAACUGCAAAUCUAGACCCAAAACAGAGUGAAAUCACCAAGGUAACAUUGCCCUGGAGGCCCCUGGGCCUGAUGAAGAAGGCCUUCGUACACGGCAUGCGAUCUGGACAGGGAUUACAAUUGACUUUUGACAUUAUCAAGAGCUGCAUAUUCAAAACCAGGGCUUGGUUCCAUUCAGGUGAACGCAAAGAAUAGGGGAUGAUCAUGAGGCGCGUACUGAAUAUUUAUUGACUUAUAAGCGCACACCAGAUGCUGCACAAAUCCUAGGCAGAAGGUUAAGAUUUAUAGGCAUCCCUGGAAAAAGAAAAAUCAAAAAGGACAGAUGGCAGGUGCUAAGGAGAAAUGGUGGAAGAAGUGUCUGACUGGUGAAUCCUUGGGAUCCCGGAUACACAACAGAGGAAGGUAACUUUAAAGGCCAAAAGAAAAAAAAAGCAAAUGCAGGGUACAGCAGA